GUUUCGUCUGAUUCACUUCUGGGAGGCUCGAAAUCCACUCACGAAUGGACCCUACGAUUUGAGAAACCAGCAAAAGGUGCGCUUCUCCAUUGUAUUUUAUAUGCUUUCAAUAUUGUAAUAGGGUAUGUGCUGGACAAGAUAAUCUAAUUUGUCUAUUAAUCUAUCUUGCAUGUUCAGUUACUAUUCGGAUAAACUAACAUGUUUCUUUGUUACUAUUGUGCUAUGACUUAUUUUCCAUCACAUGAUCUUAGUCGUUUCUUUAUCUACGGUGAGCUGAUUGAUUCAUGACUAUCCUACUUUGGUUCACAUGAUCUUAGUCGUACACAGGUUGCGCACAAUAUACAUCGUUUACAUGUCAUCUAGCUUACAUCUUCAGGUUUAGUUAACAUGCUUCCCUGAAGUACUAAGUCUGUGUGUGGUUAGAGAAAAUGUUCAUUCUCUGUGUUGUUGACUACUUCCUGCUAUUCUGAGAUAUCUAAUUUUAGGAACUGUGGAUCUAAUUUAAUAUAUACAACUUUAUUUGUAUUUGGUACAGAGCAGAGGAAGAAGCUUGGUAUAGGAAAACACUUUCUCUUAACCCUUAGUUUUCUCUGUAUCAAACUUUAAAACCAUUUUAUUAUGUGACGAAUGUCAUGAUAAAAAUCUAUGACUUUGUGUAGUGGUAUUAGUUUUUAUUCAAUUUUCUCUAUAUCUUUUGCUAUUUUCAUCUGUGGAAAGGUGGAAGCUAUAAGGUUGCAAAAUGACAUUUAACUGUUAACGUCCGACUGUGACAGACCCGCAUGCAUAAGUGUAUUCGACAACCUUGCGGAGCUCCAAUGAGGAAUUAGUAAUGUCAGGUGUGGAACCAAAGGUUGCUGUAGCCACCAAUAUCAACCCUAAAUUAGUUGGAGAGUUAGUCACCACAAGGUUGGUCUCGGUAGGAAGGUUCAUUGUCAACGUCUACGAAAUAUGGUGGUGUUAAGAAGAUCGAAACGUUGUC